UCCUGAGAUUAAAAUACAUGAGGAUAGCGUGGGGAACCCUUCCAAAAAAAAUCUGGAUCUUCAUCUCAGAUUUUGAGAAAAUUCCAAGGCUAUAGGCUUACUGUUUUUUUCGGCAAAAAAGUGAAGCAUUUGCCAGAAUGAUUUCGGGACGCUUUUUCUAUGUAAAAAAGCGUAUCGAACGAGAAGCCGUCAAUAAAAUUGAGCUGGCGUAAGAUUCCAUCGAGAUUCGGAUUCCUGAGAUCAAAAUACAUAAGGAUAGCAUGACAAACCCUUCCAAAAAAAAUCUGGAUCUUCAUCUCAGAUUUUGAGAAAAUUCCAAGGCUAUAGGCUUACUGUUUUUUUCGGCAAAAAAGUGAAGCAUUUGUCAGAAUGAUUUCAGGACGCUUUUUCUAUGUGAAAAAGCGUAUCGAACGAGAAGCCGUCAAUGAAAUUGAGCUGGCGUAAGAUUCCAUCGAGAUUCGGAUUCGUGAGAUCAAAAUACAUCGGAAUCACAUAGAAAUUCUCAUAAAGAAAAUUCUCAACAGAUACUCUGAAAAGAUGCGCCUAGACCUGGUGCCUCAUCAUGUGCAUGCCUUCAUUUCUGUGUAAUAAAUCAUACUCUUACAGGGUAUGAUGAAGACAUAAGCUAGUUGCAUGCUGGGCUGAUUUUAUGCAAUCAUAUGUAUUUAAUUUCACUCUUAUCAAUAAAUUUGCU